GAGGCCAGGCGCCCCAGGUGGCUGGAGGGAGCGUCUGCUGUCUGAGAACGGGAAUUCUCUUCACCAGGAUAUGGAGACUGUUCAAUCACCAAGAGCACAAAGUUAACAUUAUUGGGCUGGCUAAUGCAGGGAAAACUACUAUACUUUACCAAUUUUCUAUGAAUGAAGUUGUGCAUACAUCCCCUACAAUAGGAAGUAAUGUAGAAGAAAUAGUGAUUAAUAAUACACGUUUCCUAAUGUGGGAUAUUGGUGGCCAAGAAUGUCUUCAUUCUUCCUGGAACACUUACUAUACUAACACGGAGUUUGUGAUAGUUGUUGUGGACAGUAUAGACAGAGAGAGGAUUUCUGUAACUAGAGAAGAACUCUAUAAAAUGUUAGCACAUGAGGACCUAAGGAAAGCUGAAUUGCUCAUUUUUGUUAAUAAACAAGAUGUUAAAGAAUCUAUGACUGUAGCAGAAAUCUCCCAGUUUUUGAAACUAACUUCUAUCAAAGAUCACCAGUGGCAUAUCCAGGCAUGCUGUGCUCUUACUGGGGAAGGACUGUGCCAAGGACUUGAAUGGAUGAUGUCACGACUUAAAAUUAGAUGAUCUCUACUGACCUCUUCUCAUAGACUUUGUAUAAAUGAAGUGAAAGCUGCAAAAAUUAAUGGUUUAGAUAUAUUUAUAACAAACUGAUUUAAACUUUUUCUAUAAGAAGAAAAAUUAAGACCACUUAUUUGAAAUCAAAGAUGAAGUGUCACCUUCCAAUUUGCUUCUCAUUAGUUCCUUCCAAAGUAAGUUAUUAAAGCUGUGAUUGACAUUUUUCUCAUAAUGAAUCCUCUCAGGACAUUGUGUAGCCAGUGGUAAGUAAAAGGGAGAGGAAGACAUUUUGAACUUCAAGAGCUUUAUUAUCAAUAUAACCCUCCCUAGUUGAAUGUUCUCUUUUUGUUCCAUUAAGUCAAAAUACAAAUCAGCACAGAUAUU